rnacentral:rRNA from 1 species
UACGUAGGCAGCGAGCGUUGUUCGGAGUUACUGGGCGUAAAGGGUGCGUAGGCGGUUGUUUAAGUUUGGUGUGAAAUCUCCCGGCUCAACCGGGAGGGUGCGCCGAAUACUGAAUGACUAGAGUGCGGGAGAGGAAAGUGGAAUUCCUGGUGUAGCGGUGAAAUGCGUAGAUAUCAGGAGGAACACCGGUGGUGUAAACGGCUUUCUGGACCAUAACUGACGCUGAGGCACGAAAGCGUGGGUAGCAAACAGG